AGAGUUUGAUCCUGGCUCAGGAUGAACGCUAGCUACAGGCUUAACACAUGCAAGUCGAGGGGAAACGACAUCGAAAGCUUGCUUUUGAUGGGCGUCGACCGGCGCACGGGUGAGUAACGCGUAUCCAACCUGCCCACCACUUGGGGAUAACCUUGCGAAAGUAAGACUAAAUACCCAAUGACGUCUCUAGAAGACAUCUGAAAGAGAUUAAAGAUUUAUCGGUGAUGGAUGGGGAUGCGUCUGAUUAGCUUGUUGGGCGGGGUAACGGCCCACAAGGCGACGAUCAGUAGGGGGUUCUGGAGAGGAAGGUCCCCCACAUUGGAACUGAGACACGGUCCAAACUCCUACGGGAGGCA
rnacentral:rRNA from 1 species